UUACAGCCAUAUCAUGUUGAAACACCGGUUCUCGUCGGAUCACCGAAGUUAAUCAACGUUUGAGCCUGGUCAGUACCUAGAAGCAUGACCGCUUGGAAAUAUCAGGGGCUGUAAU